AUUGAACGCUGGCGGCAUGCUUUACGCAUGCAAGUCGAACGGCAGCGCGGGCUUCGGCCUGGCGGCGAGUGGCGAACGGGUGAGUAAUACAUCGGAACGUGCCCAGUAGUGGGGGAUAGCUCGGCGAAAGCCGGAUUAAUACCGCAUACGACCUGAGGGUGAAAGCGGGGGAUCUUCGGACCUCGCGCUAUUGGAGCGGCCGAUGGCAGAUUAGCUAGUUGGUGGGGUAAAGGCCUACCAAGGCGAUGAUCUGUAGCUGGUCUGAGAGGACGACCAGCCACACUGGGACUGAGACACGGCCCAGACUCCUACGGGAGGCAGCAGUGGGGAAUUUUGGACAAUGGGCGAAAGCCUGAUCCAGCAAUGCCGCGUGUGUGAUGAAGGCCUUCGGGUUGUAAAGCACUUUUGGCGGGAACGAAAAGGACUGUGCCAAUACCACGGUUCGAUGACGGUACCCGCAGAAUAAGCACCGGCUAACUACGUG
rnacentral:rRNA from 1 species